UUUUCAGGAAAGCAUUUGCCCAUCAUAUCAAUUAUCAGGCUACUGAGGACAGUGGAUAAAAUUGAUAUAUGGUGUUUUGUUACCAUGAUAUGGAGGGUAAUGGUGGAUGAGUGAGGGAUGACACUAACAGGACAAUAAGAAUCGCGUUUGAGAGAACUGAAAUGCAUUCUAAGCUAGUAUUUCAUCUUAGCCAAGUAUUCAAGUUUAUGAAACUACUGUCUGUAAGACAGGUAUUACGAUGUAAGCAAAUACAGUUGUAGCAAAUAAUAUUAUAUCUUUGAUAAAUAAAAUUAAUUUGAAUUUA
rnacentral:lncRNA from 1 species